rnacentral:rRNA from 1 species
UACGUAGGGUGCGAGCGUUGCCCGGAUUUAUUGGGCGUAAAGGGCGCGUAGGCGGUCACGCACGUCCGUUGUGAAAUCGCUCGUCUCAACUGGGCGGGGUCAGCGGAUACGGCGUGGCUGGAGCAAGCUAGGGGGCAAUGGAAUUCCCGGUGUAGUGGUGGAAUGCGUAGAUAUCAGGAGGAACACCGGUGGCGAAGGCGGGUCUCUGGGCCGAUACUGACGCUGAGGAGCGAAAGCGUGGGGAGCGAACAGG